rnacentral:rRNA from 1 species
UACGAAGGGGGCUAGCGUUGUUCGGAAUUACUGGGCGUAAAGCGGGUGUAGGCGGAUCUUUAAGUCGAAGGUGAAAGCCCAGGGCUCAACCCUGGAAUUGCCUUCGAUACUGGAGAUCUGGAGUGUGGGAGAGGUGAGUGGAAUUCCGAGUGGAGAGGUGAAAUUCGUAGAUAUUCGGAGGAACACCAGAGGCGAAGGCGGCUCACUGGACCACUACUGACGCUUAGACCCUAAAGCGCGGGGAGCAAACAGG